CCAUAGCUAUCGGCCACUCUCAAAAAAUAUUCUACCGCCGCCAACAAGCCCUGAAAGAGGCUUCCUUGCCGUCAGCCAGCCGUUGUCCAGCCUCUAUCGAUUCUUGUUCUGCUAUUGAUCAUCUUUGUUCUAUUUUUUUCUGCUGCAACAGAUCUUGGUUCAGUAAUAUUUUUUGAUCUAAGAUGGUGAAGAUAGUGAUGACGAGAUCAAUU
rnacentral:lncRNA from 1 species